AGCAGCCGCGGUAAUUCCAGCUCCAAUAGCGUAUAUUAAAGUUGUUGCAGUUAAAAAGCUCGUAGUUGAAUUUCGGGGUCAGCAGGUCGGUCGUGCCACUGGUAUGUACUGGCUUUGCUGAUUCCUCCCUCUUGACGAACCGUAAUGCCAUUAAUUUGGUGUUGCGGGAAAUCAGGACUGUUACUUUGAAAAAAUUAGAGUGUUUAAAGCAGGCUUACGCUUGAAUACAUUAGCAUGGAAUAAUGAAAUAGGACGUUCGAUCCUAUUUUGUUGGUUUCUAGGAUUGACGUAAUGAUUAAUAGGGAUAGUUGGGGGGCAUUAGUAUUCAAUUGUCAGAGGUGAAAUUCUUGGAUUUAUUGAAGACUAACUACUGCGAAAGCAUUUGCCAAGGAUGUUUUCAUUAAUCAAGAACGAAAGUUAGGGGAUCGAAGACGAUCAGAUACCGUCGUAGUCUUAACCAUAAACUAUGCCGACUAGGGAUCGGAUGAUGUUAAUUUUUAAUGACUCAUUCGGCGCCUUA
rnacentral:rRNA from 1 species